GCCUGGGUGGCUCAGUCGGUUAAGCACCUGACUUCGGCUCAGGUCACGAUCUCAUAGUUUGUGGGUUCGAGCCCCACAUCGGGCU
rnacentral:tRNA from 1 species